GACGAGGGGUCCAAGCGUUGUUCGGAAUCAUUGGGCGUAAAGCGGGUGUAGGUGGCUCUAUAAGUCAGGAGUGAAAUCCCCGAGCUUACUUGGGAAGUGCUUUUGAUACUGCAGAGCUUGAAUGUGGGAGAGGGUAGUGGAAUUCCAGGUGUAGUGGUGAAAUACGUAGAUAUCUGGAGGAACACCGGUGGCGAAGGCGGCUACCUGGCCCAACAUUGACACUGAGACCCCGAAAGCAUGGGGAUCAAACAGG
rnacentral:rRNA from 1 species